UUGAAACUCAAAGGAAUUGACGGGGGCCCGCACAAGCAGUGGAGUAUGUGGAUUAAUUCGAUGCAACGCGAAGAACCUUACCAGGUCUUGACAUUCCGCUAACGAAGUAGAGAUACAUUAGGUGCCCUUCGGGGAAAGCGGAGACAGGUGGUGCAUGGUUGUCGUCAGCUCGUGUCGUGAGAUGUUGGGUUAAGUCCCGCAACGAGCGCAACCCUUACUGUUAGUCGCUACGCAAGAGCACUCUAGCAGGACCGCCGUUGGCAAAACGGAGGAAGGUGGGGAUGAUGUCAAAUCAUCAUGCCCCUUAUGACCUGGGCCUCACACGUACUACAAUGGCCAUCAACAGAGGGAAGUAAAGCCGCGAGGCAGAGCAAAACCCUAAAAAUGGUCUCAGUUCGGAUCGUAGGCUGAAACCCGCCUGCGUGAAGUUGGAAUUGCUAGUAAUCGCGGAUCAGCAUGCCGCGGUGAAUACGUUCCCGGGUCUUGUACACACCGCCCGUCACACCAUGGGAGUCGGAAAUGCCC
rnacentral:rRNA from 1 species